CCUGUCCCUAGAAAUGUUGCUGGUGUGGCUGCUGUGACAUAUAUGUAUUAGUAGAUGGCAGAGAGGAGAAAGGCAAUAUCUAUGCUCAGUGUUCUGACUUAUGAACAUCUGAAUUAUGAGUACCUUAAAAU